AUUGAACGCUGGCGGCAGGCCUAACACAUGCAAGUCGAACGAGUGGCGGACGGGUGAGUAAUGUCUGGGAAACUGCCUGAUGGAGGGGGAUAACUACUGGAAACGGUAGCUAAUACCGCAUACCAUCGGAUGUGCCCAGAUGGGCUUAGCUAGUAGGUGGGGUAAAGGCUCACCUAGGCGACGAUCCCUAGCUGGUCUGAGCGGAUGACCAGCAACACUGGAACGGAGACACGGGCCAGACUCCUACGGGAGGCAGCAGUGGGGAAUAUUGCACAAGGGGGGCAAGCCUGAUGCAGCCAGGCCGCGUGGAUGAAGAAGGCCUUCGGGUUGUAAAGUACUUUCAGCGGGGAGGCGUUAACCGCAGAAGAAGCACCGGCUAACUCCGUGUCAGCAGCCGCGGUAAUAC
rnacentral:rRNA from 1 species